rnacentral:rRNA from 1 species
UACGGAGGAUGCAAGCGUUAUCCGGAAUGAUUGGGCGUAAAGCGUCCGCAGGUGGCAAUGUAAGUCUGCUGUCAAAGCGUCUGGCUCAACCAAAUAAAGGCAGUGGAAACUACAUAGCUAGAGUAAGGUAGGGGUAGAGGGAAUUCCAGGUGUAGCGGUGAAAUGCGUAGAUAUCUGGAGGAACACCGGUGGCGAAGGCGGCAUCCUGGACCGGUAUUGACGCUGAGGCGCGAAAGCUAGGGGAGCAAACGGG